rnacentral:rRNA from 1 species
GAGUUUGAUCCUGGCUCAGAACGAACGCUGGCGGCAGGCCUAACACAUGCAAGUCGAACGCCCGAGCAAUCGGGAGUGGCAGACGGGUGAGUAACGCGUGGGAACCUUCCCAAUGGUACGGAAUAGCCCAGGGAAACUUGGAGUAAUACCGUAUACGCCCGCAAGGGGAAAGAUUCAUCGCCAUUGGAUGGGCCCGCGUAGGAUUAGCUAGUUGGUGAGGUAAUGGCUCACCAAGGCGACGAUCCUUAGCUGGUCUGAGAGGACGAUCAGCCACACUGGGACUGAGACACGGCCCAGACUCCUACGGGAGGCAGCAGUGGGGAAUAUUGGACAAUGGGCGCAAGCCUGAUCCAGCCAUGCCGCGUGAGUGAUGAAGGCCUUAGGGUUGUAAAGCUCUUUUUGGCGGGGACGAUAAUGACGGUACCCGCAGAAUAAGCCCCGGCUAACUUCGUGCCAGCCGCCGCGGUAAU